GAUGAACGCUGGCGGCGUGCUUAACACAUGCAAGUCGAACGGAAAGGCUCCUGCUUGCAGGGGUACUCGAGUGGCGAACGGGUGAGUAACACGUGGGUGAUCUGCCCUGCACUUCGGGAUAAGCCUGGGAAACUGGGUCUAAUACCGGAUAGGACGAUGGUUUGGAUGCCAUUGUGGAAAGUUUUUCGGUGUGGGAUGAGCUCGCGGCCUAUCAGCUUGUUGGUGGGGUAAUGGCCUACCAAGGCGUCGACGGGUAGCCGGCCUGAGAGGGUGUACGGCCACAUUGGGACUGAGAUACGGCCCAGACUCCUACGGGAGGCAGCAGUGGGGAAUAUUGCACAAUGGGCGCAAGCCUGAUGCAGCGACGCCGCGUGGGGGAUGACGGCCUUCGGGUUGUAAACUCCUUUCGCUAGGGACGAAGCGCAAGUGACGGUACCUGGAGAAGAAGCACCGGCGAACUACGU
rnacentral:rRNA from 1 species